CUACGGGAGGCUCCAGUGAGGAAUAUUGCACAAUGGGGGAAACCCUGAUGCAGCAACGCCGCGUGGAGGAUGACGCAUUUCGGUGUGUAAACUCCUUUUAUCAGAGAAGAAAAUGACGGUAUCUGAUGAAUAAGCUCCGGCUAACUCCGUGCCAGCAGCCGCGGUAAUACGGAGGGAGCAAGCGUUAUUCGGAAUCACUGGGCGUAAAGGACGCGUAGGCGGGUUUUUAAGUCAGGUGUGAAAUCCUAUGGCUCAACCAUAGAACUGCACUUGAAACUGGGGACCUAGAGUAUGAAGGGGCAGGUGGAAUUAGUGGUGUAGGGGUAAAAUCCGUAGAUAUCACUAGGAAUACCGAAAGCGAAGGCGACCUGCUGGGACAUUACUGACGCCGAGGCGUGAAAGCGUGGGGGGCAAACAGGAUUAGAUACCCGGGUAGUC
rnacentral:rRNA from 1 species